rnacentral:rRNA from 1 species
ACGAACGCUGGCGGCGUGCUUAACACAUGCAAGUCGAACGGUGAUGAGGAGCUUGCUCUUCUGAUCAGUGGCGAACGGGUGAGUAACACGUGAGUAACCUGCCCCUGACUCUGGGAUAACAGUUGGAAACAGCUGCUAAUACCGGAUAUGAACCUUCCACGCAUGUGGGGGGUUGGAAAGCUCCGACGGUCAGGGAUGGGCUCGCGGCCUAUCAGCUUGUUGGUGAGGUAGUGGCUCACCAAGGCUUCGACGGGUAGCCGGCCUGGGAGGGCGACCGGCCACACUGGGACUGAGAUACGGCCCAGACUCCUACGGGAGGCAGCAGUGGGGAAUAUUGCGCAAUGGGCGAAAGCCUGACGCAGCAACGCCACGUGCGGGAUGACGGCCUUCGGGUUGUAAACCGCUUUCACCCAUGACGAAGUUUUUUAUGACGGUAGUGGGAGAAGAAGCACCGGCUAACUACG